AGUCGAAUUUGACGGCACGAGCUUUACCGAUAAUGGAUCGAUUCGAAUUUGAAUCCGGUAACUGAUUAAAGAACGAAUCACUUGUUGAAUGUUAUUGAGCUGUCGCGAGAUAUGGAUGAGAGCGCGCAUUGAUCGUAAUCGUUUUUCUCUUCGCUUGGACCGAGUCAUCACCGAUGGCGAUUACCACGACACAACUCAGAUUCAUCUUCUUCCUCCUAGAGUCGCGAUGACGGUGCGAUCGGGAUGACGGAGAACGCGACGGUGGCUCAGGCUUUUGUUCCAUGUGCGUUUUGUGGAAUUCUCUUUUCUCUCAUGCAUGUGUUCUCGUUUCAGCUGGUUGAAGAUCUUGUUUGGACUCAGACCUGAGCAGAUUUUCCCAUUCACACCCUCCAAU
rnacentral:lncRNA from 1 species